rnacentral:misc_RNA from 1 species
AUUAACCUUCUCAAACUUCCUUGUCUCUGUCUUUGGCAAGUGCCAAUUGGUCCUGAAUAUUGAUAAAAGUAAGGGGAUUAAUCUCUUGACCUUUUGACAUUGAAGAUGAAGAUAGGUUGCUGUUUCCCUCUUGCACAAAUAACACUAGUUGGUAAUGAAUUUUUCUGUUUUCACCAAAUGUACACAAGAUGCAAGAAAUGGCUAUCACAUCUGCUGAAAAGGAAAAGAGUAAACAGAGCCAUUUUUAAAUUAGUUAACUCUUGACAGAAUUCACUUCUCAAAAUACAAGGGCUCCACAGUCUACACAUGAAAAUUCUUAAACAGCUAAUUUCCAGCUCUUCAGAGCAGUUCUCAUUUGGUUGUUAUGAAUUCAGAUUGCAAGGAAAGAGGAGCUUUUCAAGAUCACCAUACACACUUUACUUGAUUGUUGAUGGACUUGCAACUGGGGUCCUCAUGAAUUAGCUUUCUUGCUGUCUAUAUCUAGAUUUGUUCAUUCUGACAUCUUUAUUUAUCCACAUGCACAAAUACUUUCAUGCUGGGUGUAGUUUAUUUUUGUUAAUCUCUUAGUGUCUUUACUCUUCAGUUCUGAGACUCAUUAUUAAUGAUAAUUCUUUCUCUGGUCAACAGCGGCCCCCUUUCUUCAGCUUCAAAAUGAAUCUUCCUUCAGCCAUUAAACAAGCUUUAAAGCUUUCGAGCACAGCUUACCUAUUUUCAGCAGUGCUGCUUGUGUUUCUUCCAAAUCAGUUUAAGAGUUAUGUAACAAUGAAGAACUUUAUCAUUGAGCAGAUCAUCCUAUACUUUGGGAGCUUUUCUGUGUUCCUCUGUUGGGAAUUAAGUCACCAUUUACAUCAGGUCCUACAUACAAAAAGGUUCAUAUUUGCACCGCCAAAAGGAUCAGCAGCAGCAGAAACAAAUCCCAGUGAGCCACUUCUAUCAGCUUUGGAGGAGAGCAGCCCAGGUUCUCUUCCACAGUUUCUUGCAUAUCUUGAUCUCUGUAUGGUUUGUGAAAAUAAUGUCGCUACUUGGCGUCGAGCUGCAUUCUUUGAAGAAACUGGCGAGACUUACAAAAGAGUUGUAGCUGUAUGUUUGAGGCCUCUUGAGCAGCUUGCUUCUACUUUGGGUAAAGGCUUUGAAACUCAUUCCGAUGAUAAGACUUACCAACAACACAAUCAAUUGCAGUUACAAACUGAUCCGCAACAAGAUUCAAAGUAUUAUGAAGCCCUGAACAACUUCCAGGUAUGAAAAAAAUCAACUGCUGCUUAGAUUGGUCUCUUCAAUUUAAUAUGUUUGGAUUUUUUAAUGUUGUUCAUUUUCUAUAUUAUCUUGUCCUAAUCAGAUCAUUGAGUCCAUUAUCACCAUUAAUAGCUUAGGUACUCCAAUAGCAAUACACAAGUUUGUGAAAUGGCGAUUCAUAUAUGAUAUUUUUACAUAUAAGAGAAAGAGGUAUAGAAAGAAAAAGUAAAAUGAAAAGUGAAAGUGUAGCUGGGCACACAAGUUACUUGGUUUCUGUUGUAGUAGCUGUAAGAAAGAAAGUGAGGAAGGACGUGGUUGAGCUGAUGAAGGAAUAUUUGGUGGCAGUUGGUGUAUCUGUUAGAGCAAUUUUCUGUCAUGAAGGAUGUUUGCUCAGAAUUACUAUUGAAUCUGUUGUUGAUAAAAACAUCUCUAUAAAUAUAUUAAUUAGAGUAUGUUAAAAAUUGAUUUAAAGUUAAAUAUGCACAUAGAAAGCAAAUAUUUCAGUCCAUGGGGUUUACAGCAACCCAUUAUUUAGCAAGAGAGACAAGGGACAAAGCAUACAUUAUCAACUUGCUUCAAGAAUCAAGAUGCACUUGUUUUCUCCUUCAAAGGAGAUAUUGAUAGCCAUUGAACACCUUAUGAUUGAUAGCCAUGGUACACCCUAAUGGAUAAAAUACUUCGUUCAAAUCAAUGUUUUUGGGGUUGGCUAAGUGGAUCUCCAAACUCAUGGAUAAGUGUAUUCUCAAGUACAUACUAGUUGAUUGAUUAUAAUUGAUAACCUCAGUACACCAUACCCAACCUUAAUAAGCUUUGAUCAUACUCCUCCCUUUGAAGUUGUGAUUUAUAUAACAUUAUCAAAAAGUAUUUCUUUAGCAUUCUAUUGCUUUGUCUAUAUGGAAUAAUUAUUAUGCAUUAUCUUGUUUGGAAUCAAUGACAAGACUAAAUAUAUUAUGAUCUUUCUUGCUCAAUAAUAUUUAUUUUAUUAAGACAAAAACCUAUAGUUUUUCUAUAAUUGCGUUGCAAGUGUAAAUUAUUCAGGCGAGAUCCUCAAAUUGUUUGGAAGGCAAAGGUGUAAAAACAUGGGGAUUACAUUAACCCAUUGCUUUACAAUGACAAGGUACGUAUACAUUUUUUAUUUGCUUUAAUAAUCAAGAUGCACUUGUUUUCUUGUUCUUUAAAGGUGAUAUUUAUACCCCAUGUUUCUAGUAGUUCAGCCACCACUUAAAUUUUAAAUUAUGCACUAGUUUUUGCGAAAUAAGAUCUUUUUUUCUUUUUCUUUCUUGUUUUGUUUCUGUCAUUACAAUUUUUUUGUUGCAUAAUUUCUGCUUCUAAGUGAGAAAUGAUAAAAUUGUGAAGUGCAAAAGGCUGAUAUCACAUGUUCACGAAUUUGGUAUUAUUAUUAUUGGCCGACAAGCACAAAAUUUUCCUAAAGAGGACCCAAAUCUUUUGGAAAUAAAGCAAAUUGAGGUGGUUGGUACAUGUACUGGGGAUUUCAACACUCUUAUUAUAUGUGAAUAUUGUGAAUAUUACUUUCUUUGUUUAUUUCUCCCUGUAUUUAUUCAAUGCAUGGGUACUUAUUGCAUAACUAUGUUAAUUAGACAAAAUACUGAAAAUAUAUCAUUAUUAGAUGCAAAAGUUGUUCAUAUAAUGUUCUAAAGGAUUCGAGAUGUAACAAAUAUCAAAUCAACCCUAUUAUAAUUCUUUUAUAGGAAUGUAUUUAUGAAAUUUAUAUAGGCAUAGGUUUGAAAUAUAAGCCCCACUAUUGGCACUCCAUUUCUAUUUCCUUUCCUAUUGAGGUUUCCUUAGGGGAGGAUAGAAAAUGAUUAAGGCAGCUUGAAUUUAAAAUAUAUAUUUUAUUGUUAUUUUUAUUGCUAUUACUAAAGCUUUUUUUUUU